rnacentral:rRNA from 2 species
UGGUGGGUAGUUUGACUGGGGCGGUCUCCUCCUAAAGAGUAACGGAGGAGCACGAAGGUUGGCUAAUCCUGGUCGGACAUCAGGAGGUUAGUGCAAUGGCAUAAGCCAGCUUGACUGCGAGCGUGACGGCGCGAGCAGGUGCGAAAGCAGGUCAUAGUGAUCCGGUGGUUCUGAAUGGAAGGGCCAUCGCUCAACGGAUAAAAGGUACUCCGGGGAUAACAGGCUGAUACCGCCCAAGAGUUCAUAUCGACGGCGGUGUUUGGCACCUCGAUGUCGGCUCAUCACAUCCUGGGGCUGAAGUAGGUCCCAAGGGUAUGGCUGUUCGCCAUUUAAAGUGGUACGCGAGCUGGGUUUAGAACGUCGUGAGACAGUUCGGUCCCUAUCUGCCGUGGGCGCUGGAGAAUUGAGGGGGGCUGCUCCUAGUACGAGAGGACCGGAGUGGACGCAUCACUGGUGUUCGGGUUGUCAUGCCAAUGGCACUGCCCGGUAGCUAAAUGCGGAAGAGAUAAGUGCUGAAAGCAUCUAAGCACGAAACUUGCCCCGA